AAUAAAUGCUUCUUCUACUUGGCAAAUUCUUAACAAAGCUAGUAUGGUAUUGAUGAAACCCACUUCUCCUUUUUCCACCCCAAAAUCUCCCGAACCUUCUGGGUUUCUCGAUUCCUGUUUCCUUUGUAAACAGAAACUCUUACCUGGAAAAGACAUCUACAUGUACAAGGGAGAAUGGGCAUUUUGUAGCGUAGAGUGCAGGUGCAAGCAGAUUUUUAUGGAUGAAGAAGAGAGUAUGAAAACGAAAUCUAAAGCUUCCAUUAAAUCGUGUACUUCUUCUUCUUCAUCAUCAUCGUCGUCUUACCGGAGUAGGAAAACGGCGGCGAGGAACCGACCGAAUGCGUUUGCAUACUGAGAAAGGAGUUGGGUUGGACGAAAAUUUCCAGUUUUGUCCUCGAUACAUUUUGUAAUGACUAUGGUAUCCGUUUUCAUUUUGAAUUUUGUGAAAUUAUUAAUAUUAGUAGUACGGAAAAAAACAAAAAACUGCUGCUAGUUUUCAUUUAUGAGCCCCUGGGUUUUUGGUUUUGGUCCAAUUUCACUAAAUUGCUAAAUAAUUUUAUUCAGAAUCUUUUCUUUUUCUAGAAUGGGGUUUGUAGGGACUGUCGGGAUAUUCUGGGUAAUCUAAUAAAAAAUGUGGCAUACCCCUUAAAGGAGUGAUGGAUGACUCACACUUUUUUAUUUUAUUACUGCAUUUAAUGUCAUUAAAUUUUAUUUUGUA
rnacentral:misc_RNA from 1 species